CGCACCGGUGGCCUAGUGGUUAGAGCGUCCACCUCAGAUGUGGUAAGUCGUGGUUUCGAACCCCGGUCGUGUCA